GAGAGAGGCAGAGGGAGAAGCAGGCUCCGUGCAGGGAGCCCAAUGUGGGACUCGAUCCCGGGUCUCCAGGAUUAGGCCCUGGGCUGAAGGCAGGCACCGAACCGCUGAAGCCAUCCAGGCAUUCCCUCAUUCGUCCUUUUUAAUGCAGACAUCACAGCUAUCACAGCUAUAAAUUUCCUUCUGAGCCCUGCUUUUGCUCUUUCCCAUAAGUUCUGACCUUACUGCUAACAACCAAUCUGCCUGUAGCAGCCUGCUCUCAAUUCCACUUGAUGCUUCCUAGUGUGGGCGAGGCACAGAUAGCCAUCCACAUUUGUUAGAAUUGCAGAUGUCAAUAAUGGCAAGACAAGGCUCACUCACACAGUCAUGCAGUUGCUUCAGAGCUUAUCCAUCAGCUGUGGGGACCUGGUGAGCUCACUCACAGAUGGGAGUAAGGGAUUGAAAGUCAAGAAGGCCAAAGUCAUAGAAGUCAUGUUGCUGACUCGAAAUGGGCAGAGCAGCAGGGCAGGCUCUACUUCCACACGGGCACUCUGCAGGAGCACCUACAGCCCGCUGCCCUGCAGCCACCUUGGGGAGCUGUGGAAACUGCCUGGCCUCUGUGGCACUGAGGCUCUGCCUGUUGACUUUAAAAGGAAAAUAAAAUUCUCCUGACUUCUC